UACGUAGGGUGCAAGCGUUGUCCGGAAUCAUUGGGCGUAAAGAGCGUGUAGGCGGCUCGAUUAGUCCGCUGUAAAAGUCCAGGGCUCAACCCUGGGAUGCCGGUGGAAACUGUCGGGCUUGAGUACGGAAGAGGCGAGUGGAAUUCCUGGUGUAGCGGUGAAAUGCGCAGAUAUCAGGAGGAACACCAAUUGCGAAGGCAGCUCGCUGGGACGUUACUGACGCUGAGACGCGAAAGCGUGGGGAGCAAACAGG
rnacentral:rRNA from 1 species